UCGAAAUUAGAUUAUCUUCGCUGUACUCUUCUGUCAUUUCCAGAAACUCUCCGGCGCAGCGGAGAGAAGCGACAUUGGAAGAAUUGAGGUCGAUCUUCACACCGUAGCAAAACUUCGAUGCCAUCUCAAAGAUCUCGGAGCUGCAGGGGAAAUCAGAGAGCACAAUAUGGCAAUGUUCUUCCUCAACUUCAUCUUCUUCCUGUUCCUCCGAUUCGGUAAUUUCAUUUUGAUUCUCUCUGGUAGGAGUACCGUAGUUUUCUUCUCGCCGAGUUAUCAAAUUAUCUAGUUUCCGGCUCUUCGACAUUAGAGGAAACUGGAAAUUUACAAAAGAAUGAGGUCAGAACUCAAGAGAAACAGUCUGAAACAACCAAAUCAACGAAGAAAGAGACGGAAAUUUCGCAAGGAGAUUAAGGAGGCGACCUUAUGGAGAUGGAAAGCCAUAUCGUCCACUUCAAUGACAAUGUCACUCGGUAAGCCAUUGGUGCAGAACCUGUAAAACAAAAACUCAAAAGAAAUCAUUCCAAUCAGCACUAUUACCAUGGGAGUUCCAACCGAAGGUCUCUAAAAAUGGGAAGAACAUAAGAACUCACCAUGCUUGUCUUUUAGCGCUGGGCUUCCCUGCAACUGCUUGCGAUUCUGUAGCCAUUUUCUCAGGAAAAACUCUGCAUACAACCUCCGACAAUCAGACCCUGAAACUAGAAAACCAGCUCCAUUUCUUGCACAAACCAGAGAAGCUCGAAGGCACAGAAAUUAUGGUUUGGGUCUUAGGAAAUGAAAACAAACACAGGGAAAGAACAAAGAAUUGAAAUCCUUUUCAGGAGUAAUUUUGGUUGGGUGAAACGGAUUAGACUUGGGACAGAAGAACAGAUAAAAAGAAAACAAUGAGAACGAUGGGGAGAGAAUUUGUUUGGUUGCGAUUUCGUUUCUUCGGAAGAAUAAAUCUGACAAAGUGAGCUUCAUCAAAUCAAAAGGCGAAUGGCACUGCGAUGGGGUUUCAACUUUCAACAAAAUUUCUAAUUCUUCGGUUGCUGUUGGUCUACGAAUCAGUGGGGAAAGCACUUGAAAUGAAGAUGGGGAAAGCGUCCAAAUGGACACAAAACCCCAGAAAAUGCAGAUGGGGGCAUAAAGUCAAGGCUGUAGGUGUUGGGUGUUGGCACACAUAUAUGCCUUGGUGGUUGCUGCUUAUCACAUGCCUCCCAAGAACCUCUCUCCACAAUUCUUGCUGCCUUGCUUGAUCCACAACUCUACCACAUUAUUGCAUUCAAGCUCUGUCAAAUGGGAAGCCCACUGUUGUGGAGUUCUACGCAGAAUGGUGAGAAGUUUGUAGGCAAUUGGCUACAGUAGUAUACAAAGAAGAGCAACAGUAGAAGCUAUAAUCUUGUUCAAUUGCUUGUUUUUGAUAACACGAAGUGGGAGCACGGGGUUGAUGAGUUUGGACAAAGAAGGGAAUGAAGAAGGUUAAUGUAGUUGGCCGACUUCCAAAGCAAUAUCUGCUUGAGACAUUAAAUGUUUUCCAUUGGAUAUACAAAUCAUGGUGAAGUGUAAGACCUUAAAUGUCCUACAAAAGAGCUUCCCCUUCUUCUU